CAGUAGCCGCGGGAAUACGGAGGGUGCAAGCGUUAAUCGGAAUUACUGGGCGUAAAGCGCACGCAGGCGGUUUGUUAAGUCAGAUGUGAAAUCCCCGAGCUUAACUUGGGAACUGCAUUUGAAACUGGCAAGCUAGAGUCUUGUAGAGGGGGGUAGAAUUCCAGGUGUAGCGGUGAAAUGCGUAGAGAUCUGGAGGAAUACCGGUGGCGAAGGCGGCCCCCUGGACAAAGACUGACGCUCAGGUGCGAAAGCGUGGGGAGCAAACAGGAUUAGAUACCCGAGUAGUCCCUGUCUCUUAUAC
rnacentral:rRNA from 1 species